CCUACGGGUGGCAGCAGUAGGGAAUUUUGCGCAAUGGGCGAAAGCCUGACGCAGCAACGCCGCGUGAUCGAGACGCCCUUCGGGGUGUAAAGAUCUGUCAGUGGGGACGAAACUUGACGGUACCCACAGAGGAAGCACCGGCUAACUCCGUGCCAGCAGCGGCGGUAAUACGGGGGGUGCAAGCGUUGUCCGGAAUCAUUGGGCGGAAAGAGUUCGUAGGCGGCACGUAAAGGCUGUAUUUAAAGGCCGGGGCUCAACUUCUGUACGGACCUGGAUAGUUGCGAGCUAGAAUGCGGUAGAGGUAAAGGGAAUUCCUGGUGUAGCGGUGAAAUGCUUAGAUAUCAGGAGGAACAUCAGUGGCGUAAGCGCUUUACUGGACCGUAAUUGACGCUGAGGAACGAAAGCCAGGGUAGCAAAUGGGAUUAGAUACCCCAGUAGUC
rnacentral:rRNA from 1 species